UACGUAGGGGGCAAGCGUUGUCCGGAAUCAUUGGGCGUAAAGCGCGUGUAGGCGGUCCGGUAAGUCCGCUGUAAAAGUCAAAGGCUCAACCUUUGAAUGUCAGUGGAUACUGCCGGGCUAGAGUCCGGAAGAGGCGAGUGGAACUCCUGGUGUAGCGGUGGAAUGCGCAGAUAUCAGGAAGAACACCAACGGCGAAGGCAGCUCGCUAGGACGGUACUGACGCUGAGACGCGAAAGCGUGGGGAGCGAACAGG
rnacentral:rRNA from 1 species